rnacentral:rRNA from 1 species
GACGAACGCUGGCGGCGUGCCUAAUACAUGCAAGUUGAGCGCUGAAGGUUGGUACUUGUACCAACUGGAUGAGCAGCGAACGGGUGAGUAACGCGUGGGGAAUCUGCCUUUGAGCGGGGGACAACAUUUGGAAACGAAUGCUAAUACCGCAUAAAAACUUUAAACACAAGUUUUAAGUUUGAAAGAUGCAAUUGCAUCACUCAAAGAUGAUCCCGCGUUGUAUUAGCUAGUUGGUGAGGUAAAGGCUCACCAAGGCGAUGAUACAUAGCCGACCUGAGAGGGUGAGCGGCCACAUUGGGACUGAGACACGGCCCAAACUCCUACGGGAGGCAGCGGUAGGGAAUCUUCGGCAAUGGACGAAAGUCUGACCGAGCAACGCCGCGUGAGUGAAGAAGGUUUUCGGAUCGUAAAACUCUGUUGGUAGAGAAGAACGUUGGUGAGAGUGGAAAGCUCAUCAAGUGACGGUAACUACCCAGAAAGGGACGGCUAACUACGUG